GUCCUAUGCUACUUGUUGAAGGCAUUGUAGAAGAACCUUUACCAUAGAAACUAGGUGGUGGAGGAGGCGGAGGGGGUGGUGGUACUAUACUACUUGUUGAACGCACUGCAGAAGAAUCUUUACCAGAGAAAGCAGGCGGAGGGGGCGGAGGUGGAGGAGGUGGUGGUCCUCUACUAGUUUCCGAAGGCAUUGGAGAAAAAUCUUUACUAGAGAAACAUGGUGGUGGGGGAGGUGGAGGGGGUGGUGAAAUAAAAUUGUUAUUAGAUGAAGAAGGUAGAGGUGGAGGUGGAGGGGGUGGUGAAAGAAAACUGUUAUUAGUUGAAGAAGGUAGAGGUGGAGGUGGAGGAGAAGGAGGUGGUGGUGGUGCAGACAUUGGCAAAGGAAUUACUCCAGAUGCUGAAGCUGGAGAUGAAUGUGGAGGCAGGGGAGGUGUUGGGGCAAUAGACUGUGGAGAAGAAGGUGAUGGAG
rnacentral:lncRNA from 1 species